UGAACAUGUUAAGUGUGUGUGUGUUUGGUGCUCAUGCUUGUGAUGAUUGUGAGAGAGUUAGCAUAACUACAGUUCCCAAGUAACAUAAUUCAAGUUGCAGUUCAAGCCCUAGCACAUAUGCAGAAGGUGUGCAGCUUCCAAGACAUAAUUAUUAUUGCAUAAAUCCCAGCACAGAUCAUAUAAGUCAUGGUUUUGCCCAAGUAAGGAAGUAGAAUAUUUCCCAAAUCCCUAUCAUGCUUACAUGUUCCCAUAAAAUACCCUAAGAUCAUAAUUUUACCUAGUGAUAAAGCAUAAUACUCCCCCAACAUGCUCACAUGCUUCCACGAGAUAAAGUUCAGCGAAGUACCUGAAUUACCACUUACAAGUGGUUUACCGUUUUCAUGUUAUGGCGGUUCCCAUGUUUUGUUCAAAGCUUUCCCAAAUUUAAUUGCCCUGUGCUACAAGAUCUCUUAGGCACAGAUAUUAGUAUAAAUAUGAAAGCCCCUUUAAGACAGGGCUGUAAAGAGAAUUGGAACUCUAGAUUAUAUAAUCUAUUGCCACAACUUGAUUCCCAUAUUCAAAUACCGAUGAAUUCAUUCAAAUUU